rnacentral:rRNA from 1 species
UACGUAGGGGGCAAGCGUUGUCCGGAAUCAUUGGGCGUAAAGAGCGUGUAGGCGGCCCAGUAAGUCCGCUGUGAAAGUCAAAGGCUCAACCUUUGAAUGUCAGCGGAUACUGCUGGGCUAGAGUCCGGAAGAGGCGAGUGGAAUUCCUGGUGUAGCGGUGGAAUGCGCAGAUAUCGGGAGGAACACCAACGGCGAAGGCAGCUCGCUAGGACGGUACUGACGCUGAGACGCGAAAGCGUGGGGAGCGAACAGG